rnacentral:rRNA from 1 species
AAGGGCAGGAAACCGCGAGGUUAAUCCAAUCCCACAAAUCUGUUUCAGUUCGGAUCGCAGUCUGCAACUCGACUGCGUGAAGCUGGAAUCGCUAGUAAUCGCGGAUCAGCAUGCCGCGGUGAAUACGUUCCCGGGCCUUGUACACACCGCCCGUCACACCACGAGAGUUUGUAACACCCGAAGUCGGUGAGGUAACCUUUUAGGAGCCAGCCGCCGAAGGUGGACAGAUGAUUGGGGG